UGGGGAAUUUUGGACAAUGGGGGAAACCCUGAUCCAGCCAUCCCGCGUGUGCGAUGAAGGCCUUCGGGUUGUAAAGCACUUUUGGCAGGAAAGAAACGUCGCGGGUUAAUACCCCGCGAAACUGACGGUACCUGCAGAAUAAGCACCGGCUAACUACGUGCCAGCAGCCGCGGUAAUACGUAGGGUGCAAGCGUUAAUCGGAAUUACUGGGCGUAAAGCGUGCGCAGGCGGUUCGGAAAGAAAGAUGUGAAAUCCCAGAGCUUAACUUUGGAACUGCAUUUUUAACUACCGGGCUAGAGUGUGUCAGAGGGAGGUGGAAUUCCGCGUGUAGCAGUGAAAUGCGUAGAUAUGCGGAGGAACACCGAUGGCGAAGGCAGCCUCCUGGGAUAACACUGACGCUCAUGCACGAAAGCGUGGGGAGCAAACAGGGUUAGAUACCCUGGUAGUCCACGCCCUAAACGAUGUCAACUAGCUGUUGGGGCCUUCGGGCCUUGGUAGCGCAGCUAACGCGUGAAGUUGACCGCCUGGGGAGUACGGUCGCAAGAUU
rnacentral:rRNA from 1 species